GUGUUGUAUGAAAGGAGAGAGCUUAUCACUCCGCUUGACAAGGACAGAAGAGGCCAUACAGUACAUGGUUAAGGCACUGCUACCUACCUCAUGGCAUCUCUAACCAUGUUUAGU